GGGCCGGACUCCUGGAUGCCCCUCCCCCUUGCUCAACCCUCCCGCCCACGACCUCACCUCGGGCCCACAGGCCAGGGGGCGCGGAUGAACACCAGCGGAUGCGGGGGAUGCCUCCCCUGCUCCAGGCUCAGCGUCGGCCCCCCGUCAUGAAAUCCAGGGCUUGGCACAGUAAAUAUUUGGUCUCGGGAGCUGUUCUCCUUUCUCGUUCUCGGGAACCUGAGCCUUCAUCUCAUUGGAUGGAAGCCAAGAUGCCCACUGUGUGACCCAGACAGAGGGAAUGAGGACCUUUACAGACCGCCUGAGAACACCGAAACGUGGCCACCGAAAACACCACUUUCCGGUCUUUUCUGAAGGCCUCAGCAGAGGAAUCAGCUGUUCCUCCUGUUACCAUCUGUUCAUGGAAUGCUCUUAGAGAGUCUAAAGGUGUCCUGAGGCUGCGAAUUAUAAAAGAUAGAGAUUUAACCCACUUUUUCGACAAGCAUUUGACACAAGAGGAGUUUUGGGCGUUUCACAGAUAAAACGGUAUCCAUAGAGUGCUCUGCAGUCCCCCACCAACCCCAGCACUGAAUCACAGACUUCUGAGCGGAGGCCCCAGGACCGUCCAUCCACGAUGCUGCGCAGAGCCUCAUCACCUACUCUGCAUCCGGGCCUCUUACCCCUCCGCCCAGGCCAGUGGAGGGGUGAAGCACAGCCCCCACGGGACUGUGCCAUGAACUCGGGCUCAGCAUGAAGGAGGGACUCCGAUUCCUGCAUGCAAGCAGGGUAGAUGUGACCAGUUGUCCAGCUGCCCUGACGGAGCACCAUUCUGCCUCAUCCCUCCAGCCCUCCACCUGCAGCCAGGCUGGUGGGCAGCACUUUGGCUGAAAGGUUGGGUGGGCAUUCUCAGAUCUCAGAAGCUGGGUGGCCAAGAACUGUGGUGUUUGCUCAUGUUCUGUAUUAGCGUUCUCCAGAGAAACAGAACCAGUAGGAUCUUUGUAAGCAUAGAAAGAGAUUUUUCAUAAAGAAUUGGCUCACACAAUUAUGGAGACUGACAAGCCCCAAGGUCUACAGUCAGCAAGCUGGAGAACCAUGGGAGCUGAUGAUAUAGUUCCCUUGCCAGGAGGCUGAAGACCCAGGAAGAGCUGAUGUUUCAGUUUGAGUCCAAAGGCGGGGGAAAAAAAACAAAAAACAAAAAACAAAACAAAAAAACAAUGUUCCAAUCUGAAGGCAGGCAGGCAGGCAGGAGGGUUUCCUUCUUAUUCUAGGGAGUUUUUGUUUCAGUCAGGUCUUCAACUGAUUGGAUGAGGCCCACCCAUCCUACAAAGGGCGAUCUACUUUAUUUAGUCAGUCAAUUUAAAUGUUAAUCUCAUUCAAAAAUACCCUCACAGCAACAGUCAGAAUGAUGUCUGACCAAACGUGGCAGUUUACAUAUCUGGUCAAGUUUACACAUAAAAUUAACUAUCGUAGGUACACAUUUUUCUUAUUCUAUAAAAUUAAUGGAGGAUAAGAAGAGAGAACUGGAGAGAUGCCAAUUUUGGCCACACUUCAUUUCCAUUUUGUCAUGGGGACUCUUCCAGAAGACAGGCUAAAGACACCAUAGACUAGUUGGCAAAGCAGUUGUGCCCCUUUAACACCCUCCGCCCCGCUUCCCAAAGUACAAAAGGCUUCACUGACCCACUCAGCUGUGAGCCACUUGAGAGCGGGGCCUUUAUCCUAGUCAUACAGGAUAUGACUCCAGUGUCGACCACGUCCCAUCACACAGAAGUCCUCCAGUAUGGAUUUAAUGAAUAAAUGAAUGAGUUAACAAAGAAUGAUUGAAUGGC